UCCAGGCACCCAGACCACUUCUGCCCAUUGGAGUGGUCUGGGUGCCAACUCCCACUACCCUUAACCCUGCAAGUAUAAUUACUGCAGUUUUCAUAAACUGCAAUAUUUACCUUGCAGGGUUAAGUCCUCCUCUAGUGGCUGUCUAUCAGACAGCCACUAGAGGGACUUCCGUGUUCUUAGAACACGAAAAGUGUUUUAAGCGAUGCUGGACGUCCUCACGCUAUGUGAAGACCUCCAGCGUCGCCGAAAUCCCCAUAGGAAAGCACUCAUGUGGAUUAGGUCUCCCCCGUCGGCUGUCGUCGGCAAGGGAGGAGAGUAGGCGGAGCCUGACCAUCGGUGCUGGACUCCGGUAAGUCACUGAAGGGGUUUUAAUGGAUGUAUGCAUAAAUAAAGUGCUAUACUUGAUGAGGCAAUAUCCACUGUAACUAAUAUUAAGUCAACCUGUACAAGGUGAAUACAAACGUGCACAAUCAAAUCCAU